rnacentral:rRNA from 1 species
CCUACGGGAGGCAGCAGUGAGGAAUAUUGGUCAAUGGGCGCGAGCCUGAACCAGCCAAGUAGCGUGAAGGAUGACUGCCCUACGGGUUGUAAACUUCUUUUAUAAAGGAAUAAAGUGAGGCACGUGUGCCUUUUUGUAUGUCUUUUAUGAAUAAGGAUCGGCUAACUCCGUGCCAGCAGCCGAGGUAAUCCGGAGGGUCCGAGCGUUAUCCGGAUUUAUUGGGUUUAAAGGGAGCGUAGAUGGGUUGUUAAGUCAGAUGUGAAAGUUUGCGGCUCAACCGUAAAAUUGCAAUUGAUACUGGCAGCCUGGAGUACAGGUGAGGUAGGCGGAAUUCGUGGUGUAGCGGUGAAAUGCUUAGAUAUCACGAAGAACUCCGAUGGCGAAGGCAGCCUACUAAACGGCCACUGACAUUGAUGCUCGAAAGUGUGGGUAUCAAACAGGAUUAGAUACCCGAGUAGUC